UUGGGUGUCUAAGCCGCCUGCCAGCUUCAAUUCCGUUCUCCGUAGCCCAUGCUCCUCCUCUACCCUGAAUGCCACCUUGGGUGAGUGGCUGGCUCAGACCCUGUGUCAGCGCCCUAAUCCCUAACUGGCCCCUAGUCCUCACCGGGUCAGGUGCUGUGUUGUGCGGGCAUGCACUCUGGAAGUUUCUACAUCCAGAAACUUCCUCCACGGAAACAGUCCGGGACAAAAUACGGAUAUAUUUGGGUCAUGAUAACUAAAGCAUUCCCAGGAUCCAACUUUAAAGGGGUUUUACAACUGUGAAGAAACACCAUGACCAAAAGCAGCCCGCGAGGAAAGGGUUAAUUAGACUUCCAUAUCCUGGAUCAUAGUUCAUUGAAAGAAGCCAAAACAGGAACCCAGACUGGAGGCAGGAGCGAUGCAGAAGCCAUGGAAGGGUGCUGCUCACUGGUUUACUCCCCGUGAUUCGCAUGGUCUGCUUUCUCGUAGAAGCCAGGACUGCCAGCGCAGAGGUGGCCCCACCCAGAACAGGGAAACCUUCCCCCGUCAGUCACUAAGGGAAAAGAAAUGCCCUAGGCUCCGUCCUCCCCGAUGACUCCAGUUUGUGUCAAGUUGACGUAAAAACUAGCCAGCACCUAUGUUCAGGCUCGUCAGUGACUUCAAGGUUACAGAGUUGGGGCUACUGGGCAAAGAUUCCUGUUGAAGGCACGAAGCAACCCAGGAGCAUGAAUGCCUCUUGGGGUUCAACCUCCGCUGACCCCUGGGAACAGCUGAGGUUUGCCUGCCGUUUAGGCAGGAUCCAAAGCCUCUGCUAUUCAGCUGUGGUUUAUUUUCUCAAUGAGGGCAUCAACCUGUCUCCCCGGGAAUCCCUAGGAAUCCUGCCGAUUUUAUCUCUGCCUCAUUUGUAGGGACGCCUUUCAAAAUGUCCUUAUCUGCGGUGAGAGGCUGGGGUUCGGCAUCUCUCGCUGGAGAGUUCAGCUAAUCUCUGCUUAUUUAAAGUUAAUUAAAUUCUUCGCCUCUUUUGUAGUCUGUUUUCUCAUCAAGCUAAUAAAAGGAUUAGUGACAUGGAAUUAGGAUAAGCCUUCAAUCUUUGGUAGGUCACAUGCACAUUUAACAGGUGGUAAUAUUGCCCAAUAACUCUCCAGUUUCUUAGUGUACACUGCCGUCAACAGUGUGGAGAGAGGCAAUGAGCCAGGAUGGAGUUCCUCCAACCGGACCUGGCAAGGCAGAUCAGCUAGGUACUUGUGGCAAAGCCUGGUGUCCUGAGUGUGAUCCCCCAUGACUCGCCUGCUGGAAGGAGGGAGGAAGUGACUAGCAAUUUGUCCUCUGACCUUUGUAGGGCAUUUCCCCAUCAUCACUAAAGAAGGAGCAGGGCAGAUGUGGAGCUGGAGAAGCAGCUGACAACUGCAUCCUGACCCACAGCUGGCAGAAGAAGAAAUGCUGGACCCGAGGUGAGCUCUUCGGAACCUCCAGAUGAACCUCCAGUGACACCCUCCCUCCGACAAGGCCACGCCCACCAAUCCUCCUCAAGCAGUGCCACUCUCUGGUGACGUAACAGUUAGAUCUAUGUUCCUGUGGAAGUUGUUCUUAUUCAAACCACGACAAUGUAUUUAUCUUUUAUGUCGUUUUCAAACUCUCCCUGUGCAUUUUUGGCAUGCAUGCUUGCUUUCCUGGUUUCCUGUAGGCGAGUCUGCAGCUUUACCACUUUCCUUCACCCUGUUCCUGUUCCUCUGGGCUCAGCUCACCCCUGCACCACAGUUUACUAAUUAAGUUUUUAAAGAUAUGAAACUAAGUUAGGCAUGAUGCCACUUUGGAGGAAGAGGCAGGCAGAUUUCUGUGAGUUUAAGGCCAACCUACUCUGCGUGGUAAGUUCCAGGACAACGUAGUGGGACCAUGUAUUAAUAUAUAUAUUAACAUACAAUUGGUUUUGAUCAAUAAAUUAUGUACCCAGAUGAGUGCUUCACUCUGCUCUUCCCAGUCCUGGCCCUGCCUAAGGCUCCAGCGGGGAUUGUAUCCAAGUUCAUAGAAGAUAAAGUCUUUGUUGUGUUAGGUUAGGUGGGGGGACAUGAAAAAUUAGUUUACUCAAGCAUUUAUGCCUUCAGCACAGCACAGAAUUGUAAUCUAGAUGCUGCUUAAUUUGGGGUGUAUAUGUGUGUGCAUUGGCAUGUUUGCAAAAGCCCAUGUGUGGAGGACAGAGGUCAACCUCAGCUGUCAUUCCCAAGGAGCCAGCCGUCUGGUAUUUUGAGGCAGAGUCUCUGGCUGGGAUCUGGGGCUUGACAAUCAGGCUAUACUGGCAGGAAGGGCCCUCCUGUUUCCAAGUCCUCAGUACAAGGGAUCCAAGUGCAUGUGUGUGCCAUUGUGCCUGACUCGAUGUGAGCACUGAUGAUGGGUCUUCAUGCUGGGCCCAAGUUCCUUACCAACUAAGCCAUCAUCUGCCCCCCUGGUUUCUGUUGGCAUUGUUUGUGGUGAUGGAGAGCUGACCAGGGCCUUGAGCAUGCCAAGCAAAGGCUCGACUGCUAAGCUGCAUUCCCAGCCCUGCUUCAAAUCCUUCUAUUUUGUUUUUAUGAAAUGGUCUGUCACCACAGUGAAUAGUAUACAUCAGUAAUAAUAAUAAUAAUUAUAUUUGGGGUAUAAUUGCAUAUGCUAAAAUAUGAAGUAUUAGUAAAAAGAAGUUAUAUAAAUAUUAUUACUUUAUUAUCAUUUUGGGGGACCAGAUGUGGAUAACAGUCUUGUCAUGUACUUCAAAUUAGUAAGCACCAUUUUCUGUUUCUUAUAUUUUUGGUUGUGAGCUUAACCUUUAACGACUGAGCUACCUCUCCAACCCAACACUUUCUAGUUCUAAAAAUCAUUUGCACUUAGAAGAUAUGACAGUAGCUCAAAACAGGAGACUCUGGCAAACUGCACUGGACACUUUGCCUAAAUCAUCACUUAUAUUUAAAGGAUGUUUGCUCUGGUUAAGGGGCAAGCAACAGUUGUCCUCCAAGCGUAACUCAGACAUGUGCUGGGGCUGGAAACAUGGUUCAGCAGUUAAGAGCACUUGUUGCUCUUGCAGAGGACCUGGGUUCAGUUCCCAGCACACGUGGGGACUCAUAGCCAUCUACAACUCAUAAAUCCAGUACCAGGGCAUCUGAUGCCCUCUUCUAACCUCUGCAGGCACCGGGAAAACAUGUUGAAGACAGACAUAAAUGCAGUCAAAACACUUAGACGUAUAAAGUAAAAGGAGUAAUCCUCAAAAUGAAACAAAGCCCUGACCUGUGCUGCCUUGUGAUAACACGUUUUUAUUGUUGCCAUUACAAGUCAUCGUGAACUUGGAACAAAAAAGACACAAAUUUAUUAUCUGUCAUUCAGUUCAGAAGUCAGAGAUCCAAAACAGUCUCGCUUCCUUUCUGAAGGCUCCAAGGGGAAAGUCCUUGCUUACUUCAGGAGGCCACCUGUGUCAACCAUUAGUGCGAACAUGGCUUCUGUGGUCUCAUUGCCUCUGGUUUUCCUGCCUCCCUCGUUUACAUAUAAGAGCAUUUAUUGCAUUAGGCUCACUAUCCAAAAAAAUCUCUCUUGGCUUCACAUCCCUGCAAAAUAUCUUUUUACCAUGUGAGUGACCAUACUGAAAACUUCAGUAUUUGGCAAUGGAUGCCUUUGGUUACUUUGCCUGUCACGAACACCACUCCCAAUACACUUCUGUACCACGA